UGAGGAAUAUUGGUCAAUGGACGAGAGUCUGAACCAGCCAAGUAGCGUGAAGGAUGACUGCCCUAUGGGUUGUAAACUUCUUUUAUACGGGAAUAAAGUUAGCCACGUGUGGCUUUUUGUAUGUACCGUAUGAAUAAGGAUCGGCUAACUCCGUGCCAGCAGCCGCGGUAAUACGGAGGAUCCGAGCGUUAUCCGGAUUUAUUGGGUUUAAAGGGAGCGUAGGCGGGUUGUUAAGUCAGUUGUGAAAGUUUGCGGCUCAACCGUAAAAUUGCAGUUGAUACUGGCGACCUUGAGUGCAACAGAGGUAGGCGGAAUUCGUGGUGUAGCGGUGAAAUGCUUAGAUAUCACGAAGAACUCCGAUUGCGAAGGCAGCUUACUGGAUUGUAACUGACGCUGAUGCUCGAAAGUGUGGGUAUCAAACAGGAUUAGAUACCCUGGUAGUCCACACAGUAAACGAUGAAUACUCGCUGUUGGCGAUAUACGGUCAGCGGCCAAGCGAAAGCAUUAAGUAUUCCACCUGGGGAGUACGCCGGCAACGGUGAAACUCAAAGGAAUUGACGGGGGCCCGCACAAGCGGAGGAACAUGUGGUUUAAUUCGAUGAUACGCGAGGAACCUUACCCGGGCUUAAAUUGCAACUGACUGAACCGGAAACGGUUCUUUCUUCGGACAGUUGUGAAGGUGCUGCAUGGUUGUCGUCAGCUCGUGCCGUGAGGUGUCGGCUUAAGUGCCAUAACGAGCGCAACCCUUAUCGAUAGUUACUAGCAGGUCAUGCUGAGGACUCUAUUGAGACUGCCGUCGUAAGAUGUGAGGAAGGUGGGGAUGACGUCAAAUCAGCACGGCCCUUACGUCCGGGGCUACACACGUGUUACAAUGGGGGGUACAGAAGGCAGCCACACGGCGACGUGGUGCUAAUCCCGAAAGCCUCUCUCAGUUCGGAUUGGAGUCUGCAACCCGACUCCAUGAAGCUGGAUUCGCUAGUAAUCGCGCAUCAGCCACGGCGCGGUGAAUACGUUCCC
rnacentral:rRNA from 1 species